UGGCUCAAUAGUUAAGAGCAUUGGCUUCCCAUUCCAGGGACCUGAGUUCAAUUCUUAG
rnacentral:tRNA from 1 species